UUAAUUGAAGAGUUUGAUCAUGGCUCAGAUUGAACGCUGGCGGCAGGCCUAACACAUGCAAGUCGAGCGGUAACAGAUUGAUAGCUUGCUAUCAAUGCUGACGAGCGGCGGACGGGUGAGUAAUGCCUGGGAAUAUACCCUGAUGUGGGGGAUAACUAUUGGAAACGAUAGCUAAUACCGCAUAAUCUCUUCGGAGCAAAGAGGGGGACCUUCGGGCCUCUCGCGUCAGGAUUAGCCCAGGUGGGAUUAGCUAGUUGGUGGGGUAAUGGCUCACCAAGGCGACGAUCCCUAGCUGGUCUGAGAGGAUGAUCAGCCACACUGGAACUGAGACACGGUCCAGACUCCUACGGGAGGCAGCAGUGGGGAAUAUUGCACAAUGGGGGAAACCCUGAUGCAGCCAUGCCGCGUGUAUGAAGAAGGCCUUCGGGUUGUAAAGUACUUUCAGUUGUGAGGAAGGCGUUGGAGUUAAUAGCUUCAGCGCUUGACGUUAGCAACAGAAGAAGCACCGGCUAACUCCGUGCCAGCAGCCGCGGUAAUACGGAGGGUGCGAGCGUUAAUCGGAAUUACUGGGCGUAAAGCGCAUGCAGGCGGUCUGUUAAGCAAGAUG
rnacentral:rRNA from 1 species